rnacentral:rRNA from 1 species
UCUAAGGCUAAAUACUCCCAACUGACCGAUAGUGAACCAGUACCGUGAGGGAAAGGCGAAAAGAACCCCUGUGAGGGGAGUGAAAUAGAACCUGAAACCGUGUACGUACAAGCAGUAGGAGCCCAUCACCAAAUUCCUUUUGAUUGGCAAAUGGAAUUGUAUCGAUGGAAAAUAAAAAAUGUUAAAAAUAACAGGGUUAACUAUUUUACUUACACUUUCAUUUAGUUCUACAGCACAAGAAAAUAAAUUUGAUUCAAAGAAUUCACUAGUUGAUUCAAAUUCAAAGGUUGUGUUGAGUACAAAAUGUACACCAUGGUGGAAUCCAUUAAUCAAGUGUAAGAAAAGUCACUAGUUAUUUAUGAGAGGCUAAGCCUCUCAUUUUAGAGGCAUUUGGGAUGGGUGACUGCGUACCUUUUGUAUAAUGGGUCAGCGACUUAUAUUUUGUAGCGAGGUUAACCGAUUAGGGUAGCCGUAGGGAAACCGAGUCUUAACUGGGCGAUUAGUUGCAAGGUAUAGACCCG